rnacentral:rRNA from 1 species
CGUAAAGCGCGUGUAGGCGGUCUUUUAAGUCUGAUGUGAAAGCCCCGGGCUCAACCUGGGAAGUGCAUUGGAAACUGGGAGACUUGAAUACGGGAGAGGGUAGUGGAAUUCCUAGUGUAGGAGUGAAAUCCGUAGAUAUUAGGAGGAACACCGGUGGCGAAGGCGGCUACCUGGACCGAUAUUGACGCUGAGACGCGAAAGCGUGGGGAGCAAACAGGAUUAGAUACCCUGGUAGUCCACGCCGUAAACGAUGAGUACUAGGUGUCGCGGGUAUUGACCCCUGCAGUGC